rnacentral:tRNA from 1 species
GCCCCUGUAGCUCAGUGGAUAGAGCACUGGCCUCCGGAGCCAGGUGCGGUGGUUCGAUUCCACCCAGGGGUACCA